AGAAGAGAGAGUUUGAGGUU
rnacentral:snRNA from 1 species